rnacentral:miRNA from 2 species
GUGACAUCACAUAUACGGCGGC